CACCGCACUGAGCGACAAGUCCACUGAACUCGAUGGUCAAGGAGAAACAGCGGCAGGCCAGACAGGAGUUGUGUGGGGAACUUGCUUUGCAGAACUGCUGGAGCCGCGUGAUUCAAAAUGGCUGACCUGAGGCCAUCGUCUCUGUGGAGAAAGGGAGCUGAAGAAGGGAGUGGAAGAGGCUCUCUGGUGUAGGAGAGUGGUCAUUCUGUGGAAGGGAACCGGAUAGAGUUUGAGAGGCGGUGCUGGGGUGACCUUCCACAUGCAUUGGCACCACUUUGGCGGACAUGAGCAAGGACAAAGGCGCGGGCCUUACGCGCGCAUUGUGCAGAAGGACACUCAGAGGCUUGGCCCUGCCACCAGUGCUCUCAGUCAGACCGCGCUGUCUGUUGAUGUUAAGAGAUGAAUCGGCAUGUCAGGUCUGUUUGAACAGGGCGGACAUUCCUUGCCUGCACGGACGUUCCCGUCCUGCGUGUGGGAAGAAUAACAACGUGUCAUCCUCGGAAGAGUCGAAGCUGUUCCCAGCGGACAUGGGUGCACGGGCAUCCAGAGUACAGGAAA